CACCAGGCGCGAAAACUCUACAAUGCAGGCAACUGCGAUAGGGGAACAUCGAGUGAUCCUCAUAUUGGGGGUCUGUCCCACCGUCUAAAAAACGGUGGUUAGCAAGGGCCGGGCAAGACCGGUGCCAGCCGCCGCGGUAAUACCGGCGGCUCGAGUGGUGGCCGAUAUUAUUGAGUCUAAAGGGUCCGUAGCCGGCUUUGCAAGUCUCUCGGGAAAUCCAGCGGCUUAACCGUUGGUCGUCCGGGGGGUACUACAUUGCUUGGGACUGGGAGAGGUAGGAGGUACUCAGGGGGUAGGAGUGAAAUCCUGUAAUCCUCUGGGGACCACCGGUGGCGAAGGCGUCCUACCAGAACAGGUCCGACGGUGAGGGACGAAAGCUAGGGGCACGAACCGGAUUAGAUACCCGGGUAGUCCUAGCCGUAAACGAUGCUCGCUAGGUGUCACAACAGUCGUGAACUGUUGUGGUGCCGUAGGGAAGCCGUGAAGCGAGCCACUUGGGAAGUACGACCGCAAGGUGGAAACUUAAAGGAAUUGGCGGGGGAG
rnacentral:rRNA from 1 species